UACGUAGGGGGCAAGCGUUGUCCGGAAUCAUUGGGCGUAAAGAGCGUGUAGGCGGCUAUACAGGUCCGCUGUGAAAACUCGAGGCUCAACCUCGAGACGUCGGUGGAAACCGUAUGGCUAGAGUCCGGAAGAGGAGAGUGGAAUUCCUGGUGUAGCGGUGAAAUGCGCAGAUAUCAGGAAGAACACCCGUGGCGAAGGCGGCUCUCUGGGACGGUACUGACGCUGAGACGCGAAAGCGUGGGGAGCGAACAGG
rnacentral:rRNA from 1 species